AACCUCCCGCUAUUGAGGGAAUCAUAGAGUUUAAAAUGUCUGCUGAAAGUAGACUUCACUCAGAUCUUCUGCUAGAAAAGUUUAAGGAGGAAGGAGAGCAUACUGCUACAUCAGUGGAACAGAGAAACGUAGAAGAACUUUGUUUAAGGUUAUUUUCUAGCCUUUAGUACGAUGAGAUU